UAGCAUAAAGCGGAUUUUGUUUUGUUUUUAAGUUCGGAGGCCAAUAGUCAAUUAAAUGUUGUAUUGAUUAAAUAUGAAAUGUUUUAAGAAGUCGCAUACCUAUUUAAUGUAGUUAAUAUGAAACGUACUAUGGCUAUGCAGCAAAAGCAGUGGUUCCGAAAUUUGGUACGCGUGUGACACAGAUUGUCUACUAACAUUAAAGAUAACUCUUAUAUGCACGUACGAAGCACUAUGCAUAUCUCAACAAUAAAAUGCAAGUACCAUUGAGCUAUGUGGUGUUCAGCAAGCAAUAUCAUCACUGAUUGCCUAUUUACAUCG